AACGAACGCUGGCGGCAUGCCUAACACAUGCAAGUCGAACGAGACCUUCGGGUCUAGUGGCGCAUGGGUGCGUAACGCGUGGGAAUCUGCCCUUGGGUUCGGAAUAACAGUUGGAAACGACUGCUAAUACCGGAUGAUGACGUAAGUCCAAAGAUUUAUCGCCCAAGGAUGAGCCCGCGUAGGAUUAGCUAGUUGGUGAGGUAAAGGCUCACCAAGGCGACGAUCCUUAGCUGGUCUGAGAGGAUGAUCAGCCACACUGGGACUGAGACACGGCCCAGACUCCUACGGGAGGCAGCAGUGGGGAAUAUUGGACAAUGGGCGAAAGCCUGAUCCAGCAAUGCCGCGUGAGUGAUGAAGGCCUUAGGGUUGUAAAGCUCUUUUACCCGGGAUGAUAAUGACAGUACCGGGAGAAUAAGCGCCGGCUAACUCCGUG
rnacentral:rRNA from 1 species